GAUGAACGCUGGCGGCGUGCCUAAUACAUGCAAGUCGAGCGAGAAUCUGAUGACUUGAGAUUCGUCAAUAUGAUUCAGAGGAAAGCGGCGGACGGGUGAGUAACGCGUAGGCAACCUGCCCUUAGCAGAGGGAUGGCCAUUGGAAACGAUGAUUAAAACCUCAUAAUGCUGUGAGAUCACAUGGUUUUGCAGCCAAAGAUUUAUCGGCUAAGGAUGGGCCGGCGUCUGAUUAACUAGUUGGUGAGGCAACGGCUCACCAAGGUGACGAUCAGUAGCCGACCUGAGAGGGUGAUCGGCCACAUUGGAACUGAGACACGGUCCAAACUUCUACGGAAGGCAGCAGUAAGGAAUCUUGCACAAUGGGGGAAACCCUGAUGCAGCAACGCCGCGUGAACGAUGAAGGCCUUCGGGUUGUAAAGUUCUGAUCUUGGGGAAGAAGAAAGUGACGGUACCCAAGGAGAAAGCCCCGGCUAACUACGUGCCAGCAGCCGCGGUAAUAC
rnacentral:rRNA from 1 species